GCACAUACUGUGAGCUCGAUGAGUAGGGCGGGACACGUGGUAUCCUGUCUGAAUAUGGGGGGACCAUCCUCCAAGGCUAAAUACUCCUGACUGACCGAUAGUGAACCAGUACCGUGAGGGAAAGGCGAAAAGAACCCCGGCGAGGGGAGUGAAAAAGAACCUGAAACCGUGUACGUACAAGCAGUGGGAGCACGCUUAGGCGUGUGACUGCGUACCUUUUGUAUAAUGGGUCAGCGACUUAUAUUCUGUAGCAAGGUUAACCGAAUAGGGGAGCCGAAGGGAAACCGAGUCUUAACUGGGCGUUAAGUUGCAGGGUAUAGACCCGAAACCCGGUGAUCUAGCCAUGGGCAGGUUGAAGGUUGGGUAACACUAACUGGAGGACCGAACCGACUAAUGUUGAAAAAUUAGCGGAUGACUUGUGGCUGGGGGUGAAAGGCCAAUCAAACCGGGAGAUAGCUGGUUCUCCCCGAAAGCUAUUUAGGUAGCGCCUCGUGAAUUCAUCUCCGGGGGUAGAGCACUGUUUCGGCAAGGGGGUCAUCCCGACUUACCAACCCGAUGCAAACUGCGAAUACCGGAGAAUGUUAUCACGGGAGACACACGGCGGGUGCUAACGUCCGUCGUGAAGAGGGAAACAACCCAGACCGCCAGCUAAGGUCCCAAAGUCAUGGUUAAGUGGGAAACGAUGUGGGAAGGCCCAGACAGCCAGGAUGUUGGCUUAGAAGCAGCCAUCAUUUAAAGAAAGCGUAAUAGCUCACUGGUCGAGUCGGCCUGCGCGGAAGAUGUAACGGGGCUAAACCAUGCACCGAAGCUGCGGCAGCGACGCUGAUGCGUUGUUGGGUAGGGGAGCGUUCUGUAAGCCUGUGAAGGUGUGCUGUGAGGCAUGCUGGAGGUAUCAGAAGUGCGAAUGCUGACAUAAGUAACGAUAAAGCGGGUGAAAAGCCCGCUCGCCGGAAGACCAAGGGUUCCUGUCCAACGUUAAUCGGGGCAGGGUGAGUCGACCCCUAAGGCGAGGCCGAAAGGCGUAGUCGAUGGGAAACAGGUUAAUAUUCCUGUACUUGGUGUUACUGCGAAGGGGGGACGGAGAAGGCUAUGUUGGCCGGGCGACGGUUGUCCCGGUUUAAGCGUGUAGGCUGGUUUUCCAGGCAAAUCCGGAAAAUCAAGGCUGAGGCGUGAUGACGAGGCACUACGGUGCUGAAGCAACAAAUGCCCUGCUUCCAGGAAAAGCCUCUAAGCAUCAGGUAACAUCAAAUCGUACCCCAAACCGACACAGGUGGUCAGGUAGAGAAUACCAAGGCGCUUGAGAGAACUCGGGUGAAGGAACUAGGCAAAAUGGUGCCGUAACUUCGGGAGAAGGCACGCUGAUAUGUAGGUGAAGCGACUUGCUCGUGGAGCUGAAAUCAGUCGAAGAUACCAGCUGGCUGCAACUGUUUAUUAAAAACACAGCACUGUGCAAACACGAAAGUGGACGUAUACGGUGUGACGCCUGCCCGGUGCCGGAAGGUUAAUUGAUGGGGUCAGCGCAAGCGAAGCUCUUGAUCGAAGCCCCGGUAAACGGCGGCCGUAACUAUAACGGUCCUAAGGUAGCGAAAUUCCUUGUCGGGUAAGUUCCGACCUGCACGAAUGGCGUAAUGAUGGCCAGGCUGUCUCCACCCGAGACUCAGUGAAAUUGAAC
rnacentral:rRNA from 1 species